rnacentral:rRNA from 1 species
GACGAACACUGGCGGCGUGCCUAAUACAUGCAAGUCGAACGCUUUUUCUUUCACCGGAGCUUGCUCCACCGAAAGAAAAAGAGUGGCGAACGGGUGAGUAACACGUGGGUAACCUGCCCAUCAGAAGGGGAUAACACUUGGAAACAGGUGCUAAUACCGUAUAACACUAUUUUCCGCAUGGAAGAAAGUUGAAAGGCGCUUUUGCGUCACUGAUGGAUGGACCCGCGGUGCAUUAGCUAGUUGGUGAGGUAACGGCUCACCAAGGCAACGAUGCAUAGCCGACCUGAGAGGGUGGUCGGCCACACUGGGACUGAGACACGGCCCAGACUCCUACGGGAGGCAGCAGUAGGGAAUCUUCGGCAAUGGACGAAAGUCUGACCGAGCAACGCCGCGUGAGUGAAGAAGGUUUUCGGGUCGUAAAACUCUGUUGUUAGAGAAGAACAAGGAUGAGAGUAGAACGUCCAUCCCUUGACGGUAUCUAACCAGAAAGCCACGGCUAACUACGUGCCAGCAGCCGCAGUAA